UACGUAGGGGGCAAGCGUUGUCCGGAUUUAUUGGGCGUAAAGAGCGUGUAGGCGGCCCGGUAAGUCCGCUGUAAAAGUCAAAGGCUCAACCUUUGAAUGUCAGUGGAUACUGCCGGGCUAGAGUCCGGAAGAGGCGAGUGGAACUCCGAGUGUAGAGGUGAAAUUCGUAGAUAUUCGGAGGAACACCAGUGGCGAAGGCGGCUACACUGGUCCGGUACUGACGCUGAGGUGGCGAAAAGCGUUGGGGAGCAAACAGG
rnacentral:rRNA from 1 species